rnacentral:lncRNA from 1 species
AUCACCUUAUUUAGGAUAAGAGCAGUUGUAUACAGUAGGUUAUCACAUAGCAGUUAUGAAGAAGCUUGACUGUUUCCCCAAAUGAAACUUAUCCUGGUGAGAAAAAGGUUUUUAUUUUAUUUUAUUUUUUUAGCAAUUAAGAAAGUCAGAGCGAAUUCCUUCAAUGUGUGAAGAAAAAGCAGUUCCUAACUGGAGUUCCAGAACUGUUGAAAAUCCUUGGAAUGUUACUACCUGCUUCGAUGGAACAACAUUCAUAUGUGAGGAUGGGCACCUCAAAGGAGAAAUUUCAGAAGCCACAUCUCUGUGUUCAGCUAAAUCAUAAAGAAGUAGUUUGGACAGAAGCCUCCUUUCGUGAGCUCCCUGACAGUGCUGACUUCCUUUCUGUAAGCAUGUACUAUUUUUGUUAAUAGAACAAAACAAAGCAAAACAGAAACAACAACAACCACAAAAACUAUUGACAUUUUCAAGACAAACCGUUUUAUUUUAAGGAAAUCUACUUCAAAAAUCUGGCACAAUGAAACUUCUAAAAAAACAAGAACAAGAUUGCAAUUUGGGGAAGUAUCUCAUGUCUACAUUCGUAGAGUUGCUGUCCAAGAAUGGGAGAAAUUUAACUCCCUAAAUUAGACUGUGAACUUACCUAAGUGUUGGGUAAGACAUUUUCUUAUGACUUUAGAUUCAUUAGAUUGCUUUUUCUUUUUGUUUUACAUAACUUUCUGUGUAGGAACUAUUUAAUUAAGUAUUCUUUAUUUGGAAUGAAACAAUUUCCUUAAAUAAUAAAACAAGUCCCAGGAAAAAUCCGAGCACAUCUUUCCCCAUGAUACUGUGACACUCACCCUCCUUGCUUUGAUACAUUUGUCAUAGAAUUGCCUAGGUGCUCCGGAUUUCUAAUGGUUUGAGUCUUAUUAAAUUUCUGAUGAUGAUAACAGGGUCAUAUGGUUACAACAACAAUAACAUGGGCUUAGUGUUUUAUGGCUAACAGAACACUUGUGUACAUAUCCUCGAAUGAUCCUCAGUGUCAUUAUAUCCAGAUAAGGAAACUGAAUCCGAAUGUUCAAGGGACCAGCACAGUAUUCACACUGCACAAUUACUGAAAAAAAGAUCGUGCACUUUGGGAUUUCACAGACUUAAAUUCAAAACUAAGUCAUGUUCUAAAUGGCAAUUAAAACACUUAUCCCCACAAAGGCUCAUUUUCUUCCUCUUUCUUAGGG